rnacentral:tRNA from 1 species
GGGAAUAUAGCUCAGUUGGUAGAGUGCUUGCUUUGCAUGCAUGAGGCCCUGGAUUCAAUCUCCAGUGCUUAUU